UUAAAUUGCUGUAGUAUUUUGACUAUACAAAGGUAUUGAAAUAAGGCUUUAAUUGAGUGCUAAGAGAAUGGAAAUACAGAAAUUAACUUUCUUGAUCUUAAUAAUAGAAAUUAUUUUUAUUUGUGAAGAAUCAAUAAUGUAAAUUAAGGACAAGAAGACCCUAAGAAUUUUAUAAAAUUAAUUAUUUAAAUUGAAUAAUUAAUUUUUUUAAUUGGGGCGAUUAAUUAAAAUCAUAAACUUUUUUAUGUUGAAAGAAGAACCAUUAAUAAUGGUCAAUUGACAAAAAUACUCUAGGGAUAACAGCGUAAUAAUUUUUGAUAGUUCAUAUUGACAAAAUAGUUUGCGACCUCGAUGUUGGGAUUAGGAUAUUUUCUUGAUGAAGAAGUUAAGAAAAAAAGUUUGUUCAACUUUUAAAUUCCUACUUGAUCU
rnacentral:rRNA from 1 species